AGGACGAACGCUGGCGGCGUGCUUAACACAUGCAAGUCGAGCGGAAAGGCCCUUCGGGGUACUCGAGCGGCGAACGGGUGAGUAACACGUGAGUAAUCUGCCCCUAGCUCUGGGAUAGCUCCGGGAAACCGGGAUUAAUACCGGAUACGACCACCUUAGACAUCUUUUGUGGUGGAAAGAAUUUCGGCUAGGGAUGAGCUCGCGGCCUAUCAGCUUGUUGGUGGGGUAACGGCCUACCAAGGCGACGACGGGUAGCCGGCCUGAGAGGGCGACCGGCCACACUGGGACUGAGACACGGCCCAGACUCCUACGGGAGGCAGCAGUGGGAAUAUUGCGCAAUGGGCGAAAGCCUGACGCAGCGACGCCGCGUGGGGGAUGAAGGCCUUCGGGUUGUAAACCCCUUUCAGCAGGGACGAAGCGAAAGUGACGGUACCUGCAGAAGAAGCGCCGGCUAACUACGCGCCAGCAGCCGC
rnacentral:rRNA from 1 species